GACGAACGCUGGCGGCGUGCUUAACACAUGCAAGUCGAACGGAAAGGCCCUGCUUUUGUGGGGUGCUCGAGUGGCGAACGGGUGAGUAACACGUGAGUAACCUGCCCUUGACUUUGGGAUAACUUCAGGAAACUGGGGCUAAUACCGGAUAGGAGCUCCUGCUGCAUGGUGGGGGUUGGAAAGUUUCGGCGGUUGGGGAUGGACUCGCGGCUUAUCAGCUUGUUGGUGGGGUAGUGGCUUACCAAGGCUUUGACGGGUAGCCGGCCUGAGAGGGUGACCGGCCACAUUGGGACUGAGGUACGGCCCAGACUGCUACGGGGGGCAGCAGUGGGAAAUAUUGCACAAUGGGCGGAAGCCUGAUGCAGCAACGCCGCGUGCGGGAUGACGGCCUUCGGGUUGUAAACCGCUUUCGCCUGUGACGAAGCGUGAGUGACGGUAAUGGGUAAAGAAGCACCGGCUAACUACGUG
rnacentral:rRNA from 1 species